AUUUCAGUGCAAGAAGUCACAUAUAUGGUGGCGAUAAACAUCUUUUUUUGUCACAAGUCUUGGGAAUUUUUCUGACGCACGUUUUCUGUUUUAGUUCCAUUAAAAAACUAUGUUAAGAAAGCAUACUACUUGGACAGAUUAAAUGAGCCAUUAGCCUCCCAGUGUGUAUGUUCUUCUUCCUGACUGAUUGGAUUUCACAUGUGCGUUUGGGAUGCUGGGGAGCUGUAGUCCGGAGAUGCUUUUGGUUUUUUUCAGAAUUUCUUUUUUUGGUUUUUGUUACUGAAGUUUUGUUGUGUGUUUAUUCUUUAUUCUUUAUUAUAAAGUGUGUUUGUUAGAUUGUAAAGAAUUGUUAGUGAGCUUUUUUUCUAAUUUAUUUACUUCCUCUGUAUUAUUGUUUUCUUAGUUUUGUUA